rnacentral:antisense_RNA from 1 species
GAGCUGGGAAUACAAUCUUCAGGCAAAUGACUGGAAAGCCCCCUUCAGGCCCCUAACAUCUCCCAGCAGUAAGUAUGAGCACUAAGUGUGUGCAUUCAGCCACACUAGGAUACAGCAGAGCUGCAUGUACCCCAGGACUCAGCCAGUUUCCUACAGGAGCAUAGAAGAAAGUACCACUAAAGGAGAGCAAGGAGAAGGAAGAGGAAGAGGGCAGCAAUUGGCAAGGCUUGAGGCAUGAAGAAAGUGCACUUUCACUGUUGCAGUAGUCUUAGAAAACAAAUAUUUCUGCAUGGUGACACGGUUCUUACUGGAACCCCAGAACAUCUCCAUGGUAUGACCUACCACAUUUCCUCCCCACCAAAAUAAUAAUAAUAAUAAUAAUAAGGCUACCAAGUAUCUGGAAUUUCUUGCUCAUUAAAAUCUGAUUACUACCACA